rnacentral:rRNA from 1 species
GGACAACCUGCCCUGAGGACUGGAAUAAUCCCGGGAAACUGGGGGUAAUUCCAGAUAUGCCAGAACUCCUGGAAUGGGUUCUGGCAGAAAGGCUCCGGCGCCUCAGGAUGGGUCUGCGGCCUAUCAGGGUAGUAGUGGGUGUAACGUACCUACUAGCCUACGACGGGUACGGGUUGUGAGAGCAAGAGCCCGGAGAUGGAUUCUGAGACAUGAAUCCAGGCCCUACGGGGUGCAGCAGGCGCGAAAACUUACAAUGCGGGCAACCGCGAUAAGGGGACCUCGAGUGCUGGGUUACAAACCUGGCUGUUGGGCUGCCUAAAAAGCAGUCUAUAGCAAGGGCCGGGCAAGACCGGUGCCAGCCGCCGCGGUAAUACCGGCGGCUCGAGUGGUGGCCGAUAUUAUUGAGUCUAAAGGGUCCGUAGCCGGCUUUGCAAGUCUCUCGGGAAAUCCAGCGGCUUAACCGUUGGUCGGCCGGGGGGUACUACAUUGCUUUGGGACUGGGAGGGGUAGGAGGUACUCAGGGGGUAGGAGUGAAAUCCUGUAAUCCUCUGGGGACCACCGGUGGCGAAGGCGUCCUACCAGAACAGGUCCGACGGUGAGGGACAAAAGCUAGGGGCACGAACCGGAUUAGAUACCCGGGUAGUCCUAGCCGUAAACGAUGCUCGCUAGGUGUCGCAACAGUCGUGAAUUGUUGCGGUGCCGUAGGGAAGCCGUGAAGCGAGCCACUUGGGAAGUACGACCGCAAGGUUGAAACUUAA